AUCCAGCUGACGAGUCCAAACAGGACGAAACGCGCGUCCUGGAU
rnacentral:hammerhead_ribozyme from 1 species